rnacentral:rRNA from 1 species
AUUGAACGCUGGCGGCAGGCCUAACACAUGCAAGUCGAACGAGUGGCGGACGGGUGAGUAAUGUCUGGGAAACUGCCCGAUGGAGGGGGAUAACUACUGGAAACGGUAGCUAAUACCACAUACCAUCGGAUGUGCCCAGAUGGGAUUGGCUAGUAGGUGGGGUAAUGGGUCCCCUAGGCGACGAUCCCUAGCUGGUCUGAGAGGAUGACCAGCCACACUGGAACGGAGACCCGGGCCAGACUCCUACGGGAGGCAGCAGUGGGGAAUAUUGCACAAUGGGCGCAAGCCUGAUGCAGCCAUGCCGCGUGUAUGAAGAAGGCCUUCGGGUUGUAAAGUACUUUCAGCGAGGAGGCGUUACUCGCAGAAGAAGCACCGGCUAACUCCGUGCCAGCAGCCGCGGUAAUAC